GCCAUUUCCGAACUGACAAUUGUUCUUUGUUUGAGAAGAUGAAACAGGUAUAAUCCAAGACAACCGUGCAAGAAGCAGGUGUCACCCGAAGAAGAAUGUACAUGAGUACAAGAAACAGUUCGGCAACAAGGAAUCCACUCGAAAGGUAAGUUUCCACAAAAUUCUCUUUUACCUUUUACUAAAACAAGAAAAUUCAAAAAAAGGGUGUCGGUUAGUAUCCUCGAACUUUUUCCCUUUGAUCAGGAUUAGGGUUUUAAGCCCUAAACUGAACUCUUUCCGUCAGUCAGCAUUAGGGUUUUAAACCCUAAACUGAACUCUUUUACCUUUAGUCAGCAUUAGGGUUUUAAACCCUAAACUGAACUUUUUCCUUUAGUCAGCAUUAGGGUUUUAAACCCUAAACUGAACUUUUUCCUUUAGUCAGCAUUAGGGUUUUAAACCCUAAACUGAACUUUU
rnacentral:lncRNA from 1 species